CCUACGGGAGGCAGCAGUGGGGAAUAUUGCACAAUGGGCGCAAGCCUGAUGCAGCCAUGCCGCAUGUGUGAAGAAGGCCUUCGGGUUGUAAAGCACUUUCAGCGGGGAGGAAGGCGGUGAGGUUAAUAACCUCAUCGAUUGACGUUACCCGCAGAAGAAGCACCGACUAACUCCGUGCCAGCAGCCGCGGUAAUACGGAGGGUGCAAGCGUUAAUCGGAGUUACUGGGCGUAAAGCGCACGCAGGCGGUCUGUCAAGUCGGAUGUGAAAUCCCCGGGCUCAACCUGGGAACUGCAUUCGAAACUGGCAGGCUAGAGUCUUGUAGAGGGGGGUAGAAUUCCAGGUGUAGCGGUGAAAUGCGUAGAGAUCUGGAGGAAUGCCGGUGGCGAAGGCGGCCCCCUGGACAAAGACUGACGCUCAGGUGCGAAAGCGUGGGGAGCAAACAGGAUUAGAUACCCCAGUAGUC
rnacentral:rRNA from 1 species